CUUGAAGUUAAUAUUUACGUACCAAAGCCGUUAGGAAUACAACAAGCAAUGAGCUCUCAAUGUUUUAACCAUUAAAAGAAAAUUUAAAAAAAAAUAUUAAAAAUAGUCAAUACGUUACUUGAAUAAGUAAAGAGAAAACGAUUUUCAGUCCCCCAUGCAAUUGGGUUCUGAUCCGGAGUCCCGAUCUCUAUUUAUUUUCUCGCUGAUUGGACACUGAAAAAAAAUGCGCAAAAAGUUACCUCGAACGCAUUUAUAUUAUGAUAUAUUAUGAUAUAUACUGAUAUCAUUGGAAAAACAAUAAAGGAACAGAGGUGGGUUCUGAACAAGACCAGUUAACCAAACAACUGGCAUCGCAAA